UACAGAUGGUGCAAGCGUUGUUCGGAAUUACUGGGCGUAAAGCGCACGUAGGCGGCUUUGUAAGUUAGAGGUGAAAGCCCGGGGCUCAACCCCGGAAUUGCCUUUAAGACUGCAUCGCUAGAAUUGUGGAGAGGUAAGUGGAAUUCCGAGUGUAGAGGUGAAAUUCGUAGAUAUUCGGAAGAACACCAGUGGCGAAGGCGACUUACUGGACACAUAUUGACGCUGAGGUGCGAAAGCGUGGGGAGCAAACAGG
rnacentral:rRNA from 1 species